rnacentral:rRNA from 1 species
CGACGCUGGCGGCGUGCCUAAUACAUGCAAGUCGAGCGCAGGAAGCCGUCUGAACCCUUCGGGGGGACGACGGUGGAAUGAGCGGCGGACGGGUGAGUAACACGUAAAGAACCUGCCCAUAGGUCUGGGAUAACCACGAGAAAUCGGGGCUAAUACCGGAUGUGUCAUCGGACCGCAUGGUCCGCUGAUGAAAGGCGCUCCGGCGUCGCCCAUGGAUGGCUUUGCGGUGCAUUAGCUAGUUGGUGGGGUAACGGCCCACCAAGGCGACGAUGCAUAGCCGACCUGAGAGGGUGAUCGGCCACACUGGGACUGAGACACGGCCCAGACUCCUACGGGAGGCAGCAGUAGGGAAUCUUCCACAAUGGACGAAAGUCUGAUGGAGCAACGCCGCGUGAACGAUGAAGGCUUUCGGGUCGUAAAGUUCUGUUGUAAGGGAAGAACAAGUGCCGCAGGCAAUGGCGGCACCUUGACGGUACCUUGCGAGAAAGCCACGGCUAACUACGUGCCAGCAGCCGCGGUAAUACGUAGGUGGCAAGCGUUGUCCGGAAUUAUUGGGCGUAAAGCGCGCGCAGGCGGCCUCUUAAGUCUGAUGUGAAAGCCCCCGGCUCAACCGGGGAGGGCCAUUGGAAACUGGGAGGCUUGAGUAUAGGAGAGAAGAGUGGAAUUCCACGUGUAGCGGUGAAAUGCGUAGAGAUGUGGAGGAACACCAGUGGCGAAGGCGACUCUUUGGCCUAUAACUGACGCUGAGGCGCGAAAGCGUGGGGAGCNAACAGGAUUAGAUACCCUGGUAGUCCACGGGGUAAACGAUGAGUGCUAGGUGUUCCACGGUUUCCGCCCUUCAAUGCUGAAACUAAC